AAUGAACGCCGGCGGCAGGCCUAACACAUGCAAGUCGAACGGAUCCUUCGGGAUUAGUGGCGGACGGGUGAGUAACGCGUGGGAACAUACCCUUUGGUACGGAAUAGCCUCGGGAAACUGGGAGUAAUACCGUAUGUGGUCGAGAGACGAAAGAUUUAUCGCCAAAGGAUUGGCCCGCGUUGGAUUAGGUAGUUGGUGGGGUAAUGGCCUACCAAGCCGACGAUCCAUAGCUGGUUUGAGAGGAUGAUCAGCCACACUGGGACUGAGACACGGCACAGACUCCUACGGGAGGCAGCAGUGGGGAAUCUUAGACAAUGGGGGAAACCCUGAUCUAGCCAUGCCGCGUGAUCGAUGAAGGCCUUAGGGUUGUAAAGAUCUUUCAGGUGGGAAGAUAAUGACUGUACCACCAGAAGAAGCCCCGGCUAACUCCGUGCCAGCCGCCGCAGUAA
rnacentral:rRNA from 1 species